rnacentral:rRNA from 1 species
UACGUAGGGGGCAAGCGUUGUCCGGAAUCAUUGGGCGUAAAGCGCACGUAGGCGGAUAUUUAAGUCAGGGGUGAAAUCCCAGAGCUCAACUCUGGAACUGCCUUUGAUACUGGGUAUCUUGAGUAUGGAAGAGGUAAGUGGAAUUGCGAGUGUAGAGGUGAAAUUCGUAGAUAUUCGCAGGAACACCAGUGGCGAAGGCGGCUUACUGGUCCAUAACUGACGCUGAGGUGCGAAAGCGUGGGGAGCAAACAGG